GACAGAGGAUGCAAGCGUUAUCCGGAAUCACUGGGCGUAAAGCGUCUGUAGGUGGUUUAAAAAGUCCAACUGUUAAAGAUUGAAGCUUAACUUCAAAAAUGACCGUGGAAACUUUUAAACUUGAGUAUGAUAGGGGUAGAGGGAAUUUCCAGUGGAGCUGGUGAAAUGCGUAGAUAUUGGAAAGACCACCAAUGGCGAAGGCACUCUACUGGGCCAUUACUGACACUGAGAGACGAAAGCUAGGGGAGCAAAUGGG
rnacentral:rRNA from 1 species